UACGUAGGUGGCAAGCGUUGUCCGGAAUUAUUGGGCGUAAAGAGCGCGUAGGCGGUCCGAUAAGUCGGCUGUGAAAGUCAAGGGCUCAACCCUUGAAAGCCGGCCGAUACUGUCGGACUAGAGUCCGGAAGAGGCGAGUGGAAUUCCAGGUGUAGCGGUGAAAUGCGUAGAUAUCUGGAGGAACACCGGUGGCGAAGGCGGCAUCCUGGACCGGCAUUGACGCUGAGGAGCGAAAGCCAGGGGAGCAAACGGG
rnacentral:rRNA from 1 species